UUGAUCCUGGCUCAGAACGAACGCUGGCGGCGCGUUUUAAGCAUGCAAGUCGAGCGGUAACUACCCUUCGGGGUAGCUAGAGCGGCGAACGGGUGAGUAACACGUAGAUAAUCUGCCUUGAGGUUGGGGAUAGCCUGUGGAAACACAGGGUAAUACCGAAUAAGCCCUACGGGGGAAAGGUGCUAAGGCACCGCCUUAAGAUGAGUCUGCGGCUCAUUAGUUAGUUGGUGGGGUAACGGCCUACCAAGGCGACGAUGAGUAGCCGGCCUGAGAGGGUGGACGGCCACACUGGGACUGAGACACGGCCCAGACUCCUACGGGAGGCAGCAGCUAAGAAUCUUCCGCAAUGGGCGCAAGCCUGACGGAGCGACGCCGCGUGAACGAUGAAGGCCGUGAGGUUGUAAAGUUCUUUUCUUACUGAAGAAUAACCGUUGCAGGGAAUGGCAGCGGGAUGACGUUAGGUAAGGAACAAGCCCCGGCUAAUUACGUGCCAGCAGCCGCGGUAACACGUAAGGGGCAAGCGUUGUUCGGAAUUAUUGGGCGUAAAGGGCGUGUAGGCGGUUUUACAAGUCUGGUGUGAAAUACCGCAGCUUAACUGCGGGGACGCGCUGGAAACUGUAAGACUAGAGUACAGGAGGGGGACCUGGAAUUCCUGGUGUAGGGGUGAAAUCUGUAGAUAUCAGGAAGAACACCGGUGGCGAAGGCGAGGUCCUGGCCAUGUACUGACGCUGAGGCGCGAAAGCGUGGGGAGCGAACACGAUUAGAUACCCUGGUAGUCCACGCCGUAAACGAUGUGCCCUAGGUGCUUGGGGGUAG
rnacentral:rRNA from 1 species